rnacentral:piRNA from 1 species
UAAUUAAGUGCAGGGCUCUACUAUGGGU